rnacentral:rRNA from 1 species
UACGUAGGGUGCGAGCGUUAAUCGGAAUUACUGGGCGUAAAGUGUGCGCAGGCGGCAGAGCAAGUCGAGUGUGAAAGCCCCGGGCUUAACUUGGGAAUUGCGCUCGAAACUACUUUGCUGGAGUGUGGCAGAGGAAGGUGGAAUUCCACGUGUAGCGGUGAAAUGCGUAGAGAUGUGGAGGAACACCAAUGGCGAAGGCAGCCUUCUGGGCCAACACUGACACUGAGAGACGAAAGCUAGGGGAGCAAAUGGG